AGAAACAGGGUUUGAACCCUUUUCUCUCUUUCUCUCUCUAGGAUUUCCUAUGUUGAAGUAAGGUUGGUGAAUUGGAGCCUAUUUCUUCCUCUCUUUUGUGCUUGCUGGUUUGGGAGACUUGGAGCAGCUGGGGGAGGGUGGAAAUGGAGUCUUGGGAGAGGUGUUUCGCAGCCCAAACUCAGUAGGAAGCUGAGUUGAAGCUUUGUGAGUUGAUUUGGAGAAGGAUUUUAGCAGCUAUAAAGAGGUGUUUUGUUGUACCCUAACUCAGUGGGAGUUGAGUUAGUAAUCUGAGAAGCAGGUUCGCAGCAGACUAUUUGAUCUUGUUUGGUUGAGUUUUGAGAGCUUUCUAAGGUUGGAUUUGGUGUUCCAACCUGAAUCGAAGAUUGGGAUUCAAGCCUUAGCACUAUACUAGGAAUGGUUGUUAGGAGUGUUUGGAGGCUUCGAAUCACCUUGAGCUGAGUUUUGGUGAUAUUUUAAGGCUGGUUUUGGAGUGCUUCAACCUGAUUUGAAGUAAGGUUCAAGUGUGAAUUCUAAACUAGGUACUUGGAAGCUAAGGAAUAUCUUCGCUCGUUGGAUCGACGAGAGUUGACAGCAAUUUG